CCUACGGGAGGCAGCAGUGGGGGAUAUUGCACAAUGGGGGAAACCCUGAUGCAGCGACGCCGCGUGGGUGAAGAAGCGCCUCGGCGCGUAAAGCCCUGUCAGCAGGGAAGAAAAUGACGGUACCUGAAGAAGAAGCCCCGGCUAACUACGUGCCAGCAGCCGCGGUAAUACGGAGGGGGCAAGCGUUAUCCGGCUUUACUGGGUGUAAAGGGGGCGCAGACGGCGAUGCAAGCCAGGAGUGAAAGCCCGGGGCCCAACCCCGGGACUGCUCUUGGAACUGCGUGGCUAGAGUGCAGGAGGAGCAGGCGGAAUUCCUGGUGUAGCGGUGAAAUGCGUAGAUAUCAGGAGGAACACCGGUGGCGAAGGCGGCCUGCUGGACUGCAACUGACGUUGAGGCCCGAAAGCGUGGGGAGCAAACAGGAUUAGAUACCCGGGUAGUC
rnacentral:rRNA from 1 species